UGGAAGUAAAAAUCGUAACAAGGUCUCCGUUGGUGAACCAGCGGAGGGAUCAUUACUGAGUUUACGCUCUAUAACCCUUUGUGAACAUACCUAUAACUGUUGCUUCGGCGGGUAGGGUCUCCGCGACCCUCCCGGCCUCCCGCCUCCGGGCGGGUCGGCGCCCGCCGGAGGAUAACCAAACUCUGAUUUAACGACGUUUCUUCUGAGUGGUACAAGCAAAUAAUCAAAACUUUUAACAACGGAUCUCUUGGUUCUGGCAUCGAUGAAGAACGCAGCGAAAUGCGAUAAGUAAUGUGAAUUGCAGAAUUCAGUGAAUCAUCGAAUCUUUGAACGCACAUUGCGCCCGCCAGCAUUCUGGCGGGCAUGCCUGUUCGAGCGUCAUUUCAACCCUCAAGCUCUGCUUGGUGUUGGGGCCCUACAGCUGAUGUAGGCCCUCAAAGGUAGUGGCGGACCCUCCCGGAGCCUCCUUUGCGUAGUAACUUUACGUCUCGCACUGGGAUCCGGAGGGACUCUUGCCGUAAAACCCCCCAAUUUCCAAAGGUGACCUCGGAUCAG
rnacentral:rRNA from 1 species